UAGAUUUGAGCCUUAAUAAAUUGCGUUAUUUUAGGGUGCAACAUCAGCAAAGAUUUCGUUUGGUACAUAUUUUGUAACAAAAACAUGGGAUAUGAGGGUAAUAACCAAACAAGGCACAAUAAUGGUAAUAAUGUUUGCUAUAUGAGAUCUAUAGGUAAAAAUCCCUAAAAUUAAAAGUCAAAUUUAUGAUCAAAUUCACCAAGCCCAAUCUUCUUGGCCCAAUUAACCCUUAGACCCAAAUCUUUCUUCUUGAUAUACAAACUAGACCUAACCCUAGAGAGAAUCCCUAAGCCCUAGAAGACCUUUAGCCGUCCCUAUCUUCCUCUGCACCUAGACCUCACCCCAAGAGAAGACCCCAAUCCCCGUAGUUGCUGCCCCUUCUGCCGCCCACCGCACAGACAGACCCCUGACUUCACAAACGCCAACAAACAGAAGCCAUUAGCGAAAAAUGACCCUCCAAGUUACACAACAGCCGCUGCCCAAACUGCCGAAAAGCAACCUCAUUCCAUUGUAUAUCUCGCCGGCAACCGCACACACGCUGAUGGAAACGAAACUGACAGAAGGAAAGAGGACAACGGCCAUCUAAUCUCUAAGGAUUUGAGAGUUUUUUCUUUUGUAUUUGUUUCUCUGAGUUUUCAAAACAUAUAUAUAUUUUUUCUUUUGUAUUUGUUUCUCUGAUUUUUCAAAACAUAUAUAUAUAUAUAUAUAUAUAUAUAUAUAUAUAUAUAUUAUGUUUCCUCUUUGCGAUUCUGAGUUCUUGGUUUCUAAAUGGAGUUUGACUGAGCUUUGGUUACCAUUUGAGUUGUGAUCCGCGGUUCCUGUAGAAGUUCGGCAAUUCUGUUUGAUUGUGUAUUAGUUGACCAGAGGGAGGGAUCGGUGAGACAUUUGAAGAAGAAAGAAAAUUCUAAUAUUUUUGAUAUAAGUGGAGCAACUAAUUAAGCAAUUGAUUUCUCGUUCUUGCUCUCAAUAAAGGAAGUUUGAUUUGCGACUUUAAUUUUGGACAAGCUUUCCGGUGCUGAUUCGAGUUUCUAUCCGUGGUUUCGUUAUAUUUUUGAGUUCAAAGCAGUGAAACAAUCAAUUUUCAGCUACACUGAGGUUCAAUUCUAACUUUAUUUCUCCUCAAUGCUUGAUUACUUUAUCAUUUGCUUGACAUCAUGUUACUUUUUGUUUUGAUUGAAACUGCUAUUGCCUUAUUGAAGUAGGACUAGUUUAUCAUUUACUUUAGUUGUUCCUCUUGGUGAAAGUCUGUUGAAAAUUAUUAAACGUACUCUUUGGUUGUGGGCGAUGAUUCUGAACGAAAUGAAAUUGAACUUAGAACAUAUUUGAAUUUAUGUUUGUUACCUUUAUUUUUUCUAUUGGAUCACUAAUUAUAUUUUAGGCUCGAUAACAAAUAGGCAAAUCUUGAAUAAUUGGGGUAGGUAAACAUAUACUAAGAAGAAUUAUGCAUAUUUUAGUUUUUGAGGUGCGAGGUCAUCUCUUUUAUUUUAUAUUCAGGGGAAUGCCCUAUAGAGUUUUUAUAUAUUAUUAUCUGGAGUAUGUCCCGUAGAACUAUGUAUAUAUUUUGGAGGCCUAGACGAGCAUGGUGGAGAAGUCAUAGUAUUGGUUAGCUUAGGAUUUUCUUUUCUUUUCCUUUUCAUUUUCUAUUAUUAAGUAGGGACGACCUUGAGACUUUUGUGUAUUUAUUUUUCUUUUCUGUGUUUAUUUUUAUCAAAUAUUUUAAAAGGCAACUCGAUCAUGUACGCAACUGUACUAGUUACGGGACUAGGAGAAUGCCUAACACCUUCUCCCCGAGAGAAAUGAACCCCCUUACCUAAAUCUCUGGUGCAGAAUUAGGUUUGGAGUCCAAAGUGUUUUAAAAAGGAAAAUUUAUUUUUCUUAAAAUGGUGAUCUGGCACACCGAAACCGAUGUCAGGUAGCGACCCUGAAAAAUCCUUUUGAACAUAUCUUUUUGUUCAAAAUUGAAAAUCCUUCCGAGCUUCCCAAAUUCUUUUAUUAUUUUUUAAUAGGGUUAAUUGAAUUUGGUAAAAAAGAGGCGUGACAGCUCUAGUGACUGCUGGGGAGUUGCAUGUUCGAGCUAGUACUUGAUCUUUCUUUUUAGAAUAUUCGAUUGAGGUUUUAUGUAUUUUGUGUGCUUUAUUUGAUUUUUAGUUUGUUUAUGCCGUUUUAUUUGCUAGUUGCUUAUUUGUUUACAACAUUUCCUUUAUGUGUUACUUCUUAAUAAAUUGUCAUCAUUUGCAUCACCUCGUGUCUUCUUUAUGCAACAAUUUGUAACGAUCUGACCGCUCGUUUUGAGAAAUUAAGCUCCGUGGCAUAAGCGCUAGAAUAUCUUUAGAAUAUAAGUGUCGACUUGCGUGCUUGGUGGAAUUCGACUAACGGAUGCUUUAGAGUCAAAUUGGAAGAAGGAAUAUAGUUUUGAAAGUUUGAACGCUGAAAAUUUGACCGGAAUUAGACUUUUGGUCAAAAUGGCCCCGGAAUUGGUCGUGGAUGAUGUCAACAACUUUGUAUGGUGGUUUUGGACGUAGGCGUGUGUCGGGAUUCAGAUUUGGAGGUUCGAAGGAUAAAUUUAGGCUUUUCAGCGAAAGUUGGAAAAAUGGAAGUUUGGAAAAUGAGAAAGUUUGACCCAUAGUUGACUUUUGUGAUAUCAGGGUCGAAAUGUAAUUUUGAUUGGAGCAGCUCCAUUAUGUCAUUUUUGGAUGUGUCUGCAAAAUUUGGCAUCAUUCCGGUUUAAUUUGGUAGGUUUCAGCACGAGUUUAGAAAUUUGAGGAUUUGAAAGUUUAUAAGUUCAAUUUAUAGUUUGAUUCAUCGUUUUGGUGUUGUUUUUUGUGAUUUGAAACAUCGAGUGAGUCUGUGUUAGGUUAUAUGACUUGUUUGUUUGAUUAGACGGGGUCCCGAGAGCCUCAGGUGCGUUUCGGAUGGACUAUGGAUAACUUUUCCCUAUUUUGGAACUGCUGUUUGCUGCUUAUGAUAUCCUUCAUCGCGAUCGUGAACUGCCUCUCGUAUUCCCGAUGCAUUGCUGCUGACUGCCUCGAAAUCCUUCUUCGCAUUCGCAUCUUUUCCUCCACUUUCGUGAAGCCCUACAUUCUUCUUCUUUGCGUUUGUGUCUCUCCUUUAGCAAUCGCGAAGCCUCACAUUUCUCUUCUCCGUGUUCGCGAGCUCAUCAUCGUGUUCGCGAUGAGCAACCUGGGCAGCCUUAAAAGUUUCUUCUACUCGAUCGCGACUCUUCUCCUGCGAUCGCAAUGCACAAAUACCUGGGCAGGCAGAAUAUAUCUCAAAGUCGAGUGUUUCACUAUUAUUAUUAUAUUUUGACUUCUAGAGCUCGGUUCUUGGCGGUUUUUGAAGGGAUUUUUACCUGGGCGACUUGGGUAAGGGAUUCUUACUCGGUUUAGACUAAUUUCUAUGAAUCUUCUCUUAAAUUCAUCCUUUAAUUUUGGAAUUUUGGUAUGAAUUGAGGGAAAAAUUCUUAGACCUAGAGAUUGGGUUUUAAUUGGGUAUCUGACAUAGGAUUGAGAUAAUUUUGAUAUGGUUAGACUUGUGAGAGUGUGAGAAUUCUAAAAAUAUUAAUUUAUCUGAUUUUGAGACAUGGGCCCGUGGGGCAUUUUGGUUAUUUUACAUAAUUUCGUGUAUUAACGUAGAAUUUAACUGUAAAUCAGUUACUCGAAGUGUUAUUUACAUUAUUAAGUUUAACUGAAUAGAUUUGGGCAAUUUGGAGUCGAGUACUCAUGGCGAGAAUGUGGUUUUUAGUUGGUUUUGAGUCGGUUCGAGGUAAGUAUCUUGCCUAACCUUUUGUGGGGGACUCCCCCUUAGGAUUGGAGUCUUCUCUGCUGAUUGUAAUCCGCUUACGCGAGGUGGCGAGUGCGUGUUUGGACUUAUUUUUGUAACAAAUUGGCCUUCUUAAGUUCUUAGGUCCUUAUAUUCACUGAGUAUGAAGUUGUUCUUGAUAUGAUUGAAUUUCCCUAUUACUAGUUUCACCUCUACAUGUUUUACUUGGAAUUAAUUGCUUUAUGGUUCAUUCUUAUUGCCUAAUUAACUCUUACUUAGCUUAAUUGACGAUCUUUACCCCUUCUAUUGUCACAAUCAUCUUUCAUAACUGCUUGUCUUUAUGAGAAAUUAUUAUUAUCAUCUGUCAUGUAAUUGUUUAGUCUUAAUUGAGGAUACGAUUAUCCUUGCGCUGCUCAAAAUUAAUUGCUUUAUAAUUCAUUCUUAUUGCCUAAUUGACUCUUACUUUGCGUAACUUAAGAUCUUUACCCCUUCUAUUGUCAUGAUUAUCUUUCAUAACUGCUUAUCUUUAUUGGAAAUUAUAAUUAUCUCUCAUGUAAUUAUUUAGUCUUAAUUGAGGUUACGAUUAUCUUCCCGCUGUUUAUCCUUAAUUGAAAUUGUUGUAUAUCCUUCGUAACUUGCCCAACUUUAAAAGAAGUUUAGAUAUCCUAUGUUUAGUUGACAUUCCUUAUUUGAAAUUAUUUGAUUCAUGUUAACUUUCUUGUUGUUGAACUACAUAUUAUGGAAUCGUUACUUCACAUUAUUUUCUCCCUUGUUGAGUUGUUAUUAUUACGUUUAGUAUUCUCUAUUGCAGUUAUUCCUUGUGAGUUAUUCUAAUCGACCCCUGAUGAGCUAUAGUUCUUGAGUUGAUUCACUAUUUGUGCUCUUGUAUAUAUUACCAUUGUUGUUGUUAUACUGGUGAUGGUGGUGCACGAGGUUUCUGCCAUGCGAUUGUAGUUGUGUUGUGCACGAGGUCUCUGCUAUGCAGUUGUGGUUGUGCUGUGCAUCAGGUCUCUGCCGUGUGGUUAGUGAGGGAUUGCACAAGGUCUUUGCCGUGCUAUUGUUGCUAUUAACAUACUUCAUAUGGGGCGUAACAAGGCGGGAUAUGUUUAUAUGCUUAUAUGUGGGUUUCGCAUGUGGCGAGAUAAGUGGGAACAUUAUGAUGCACGUAUGGCGAAACAAGGCAGGUACUUAUUAUGUUGUUAAUUGCACACAUGACGAUAUAAGGUGGGCUAUGGGGAUUGAUCGUGAUGAUUUGUGAUGGCCCGGGGGCAUUCUUGCUGUUUAGUGUGCUGAUUGUGGUACACUUACCGGUAUGAGCUUUAUCUUGUGAAAAUUGUAAGAAAACAUCGUACGUGCGGUCCGUUCUUCUUCUUACGCUUAUUAGCUGGUAGAGUUUUUGUUAAGGCACUUGUACAAGCAUGCACGUAGUUGAACGCUCCUACUGGACGUGAAGUCUUUCUGAUUUUGCUAAGUAUAGAUGUACGCCCUUGUUACUUAUUACAUAUAUGAGAGUUGUCCUAGUUAGCAAGUGAGUUGUCAGUAUGACCGUGGGGUUGAUGGGGGCACAAGACCUGAUGUGAACAUUGUUGUAGGGCUUGAGCUAUUGCUUUGUCUUCCUUUACUGUAUUGUAACUUUAGGAUUUGGGUUGUGAUUUUUCUCAUUCUUAUGUGUCUUCAUACUUAAUACUUUCGUGUUCACUUGUUGUUCUCUUCCCUUAUGGUGAUUAUAGCAUUGCUAUUCUUUUCGUGCAACCUUUAUAUAAAUAUAUAUCAUAAUCCGUUGUUCCUAUAAUUGUACUGUUUAUUAGAUUGGUAGGUGUCUUGACUGUUCCUUGGUAGUACCCCACCGAGGUUAGUCUUGAUACUUACUGGGCAUCACUGUGGUGUGCUCAUGCUACUCUUCUGCACAUUUUUAUUGUGCAAAUUCAGGUAUUUCCACUCUGUUCUAUCAUCCUUGGGAGGAG
rnacentral:lncRNA from 1 species